GACGAACGCUGGCGGCGUGCUUAACACAUGCAAGUCGAACGGUAUGGCCCUUCGGGGUACACGAGUGGCGAACGGGUGAGUAACACGUGGGUGAUCUGCCCUGCACUUCGGGAUAAGCCUGGGAAACUGGGUCUAAUACCGGAUAGGACCACUGCCUGCAUGGGUGGUGGUGGAAAGCUUUUGCGGUGUGGGAUGGGCCCGCGGCCUAUCAGCUUGUUGGUGGGGUGAUGGCCUACCAAGGCGACGACGGGUAGCCGGCCUGAGAGGGUGACCGGCCACACUGGGACUGAGAUACGGCCCAGACUCCUACGGGAGGCAGCAGUGGGGAAUAGUGCACAAUGGGCGCAAGCCUGAUGCAGCGACGCCGCGUGAGGGAUGACGGCCUUCGGGUUGUAAACCUCUUUCAGCACCGACGAAGCGCAAGUGACGGUAGGUGCAGAAGAAGGACCGGCCAACUACGUGCCAGCAGCCGCAGUAA
rnacentral:rRNA from 1 species